CCUAGGUGUUGGUGGAGGAUGCAAUCCAUCCUGUGACAGUAGCUGCUGCAAGACUGGUGUGCUACCUUGCUACCUUUAAGCCGCAAGAUACAGAUCCACUUAUGAUUUGCUACUGAGAUCACUCGGGAGAAGCCUCACAGUCUUGUGGUGGAAUAAGCACCAUGAAACAGCAACAAGAAGCGGUUCAAAUGCUUGUCUGCUUCCAUUGUUCCUCUGCUGUGUCGAAAUGAUCUGACUGUUGGUAAAGACUGUGUUUGCUACAAAUUUAGUUUCACGUCUGCUGCCGACUACCAAGCGUCUACCUGUAAUCAGUGAUAUUCACGUGAUUGGUAAGAGUCAAAGUCUUUCAGGAAAUGAAGCUCUACGGUUUGGAGUUCUUAUGCUGUGAAUAAACACUUUGAACAAUCAUGAAAUGACUAAGGAUUGAAAAGAAAGGGAAAGACUUUGUGUACAAGUGUCAUAAGCAAGGGAUGCUGAAAAAAAG
ensembl:lncRNA